ensembl:lncRNA
AAGUCUGUCUUUGCAUUUCUUAGUUAAUUUCUCAAUGUACCAUAUUUGAACAGGUUAGGGAGGACACAGUUUCCAGGAGUAACAUCAAAGAGAGUCAGCCACCAUCCCUGUCAGAACCUGUUCUUUCUACUUGUUCCUCAGCAAGUGAUCAGAGAACUGGAAAGAACACAAUAUCAGAAAACAGUGCUCAAGAGAACCAUCAGCUGUUGCAAUCAGGACCCGUUCUGUCUGCUUGUUCCUCAGCAAGUGAUCAAGUAAGUCUCUUGUGGUCAUUCCCAAGUGUUUCUUAGAUCGGAAAAUUGCCAACAAGGCU